rnacentral:rRNA from 1 species
AUGUCGUCGCCCAUGACCAUGGUGAGGGAGGCGUCGAUGCUGGUGGAGACGUCGGAGCAGCGGAAGUCGACGGACACGAGCGGCUCGUCGCAGACGUCGAGGAUGCCCUUGAGCGGCCCGUCGGCGGCCUUGCGGAACGCCGCGUUCACGUCGUCGGCGGUGAUGCCGGUCUUGACGGUGUUGAUGACGAGGUCCACCACGGAGACGUUGGGCGUGGGCACGCGGAGCGCGAUGCCGUUGAGCUUGCCCUUGAGCUGCGGCAGCACCAGGGAGACGGCCUUGGCGGCGCCCGUGCUCGUCGGCACGAUGUUCAGCGCCGCUGCCCUCGCCCUCCGCAGGUCGCGGUGGGACGCGUCCAGCAGCCUCUGGUCGCCCGUGUACGAGUGCGUGGUUGUCAUGGUCCCCUUCACGAUCCCUGCACGCGCGCGCGCACCACGGGACAGUCGAUCAGAACUGGCUCGGAUCAAGGUGAAAAAAGGCGGGCAAACAUCUACGUAG